AGAAAUUUUCGUAAUAUUCAUUCGACAUAAAAUGAGAAUUGACUCAAAAUUCAAAAUGGGGAAGACCUUUUGUUAUAUUGUUUUACUUUGUUUGUCGCAAGUUCACUGUUUCACCUUGGAAGAUUGUCUUUCUCCCUCCACGUAUCCCGGUAUUGAAUGCGGCGCUUACACUGUUCGCUAUCAUUGGAAUUCUUUAACGCAAACGUGUCAAGAAGUUCUCUACGGAGGAUGCGGAGCUACAAGCAAUAACUUCGCAUCGUUCGUGGAGUGCGAAGUAGUUGCCGGAUACUUUUGUCGAUCUUUUUACUUAUAAACAUAUUAACCAAUAGUAAAACGGAUACAAAUUCACCUAUAAUAAAAUAUUCACCGUUAUUUAAAAAUUCGUAGAUGUUAAGUGAGAAAUAAAAAGAUUAAACUUA